UACGUAGGGUGCGAGCGUUAAUCGGAAUUACUGGGCGUAAAGCGUGCGCAGGCGGUCCGCAAAGUCUGAUGUGAAAGCCCCGGGCUCAACCUGGGAACUGCAUUGGAAACUAACGGGCUCGAGUGUGGCAGAGGGGGGUGGAAUUCCACGUGUAGCAGUGAAAUGCGUAGAGAUGUGGAGGAACACCGAUGGCGGAGGCAGCCCCCUGGGCUAACACUGACGCUCAGGCACGAAAGCGUGGGGAGCAAACAGG
rnacentral:rRNA from 1 species